GGGAGGACGGGGGGGGGAGCGGCGAUGGGACCCAUAAGUGUGGGGCGGGGGGUGCCCGAAUGGCUGCCCGUAAAGGCGCAGCGAAGCGCGGAACUGUGGGGCAAAAAGGUCCCCGAGUGGCCCCGGUGAGCCCACGGAGAGCCCCAUAAGUGUGGGGCGGGAGGAGCCCGGGUGGCGCACAUCAACCCACGGCAGAGCCCACAGGUGUGGGGCAGAAGGUCCCCAAGAGGCCCCCGUGAGCCCAUAGGAAACCCCACAAGUGUGGGGCAGCAGCUCUCCAAGUGACCCCCGUGAGCCCAUAGGGAACCCCAUAAGUGUGGGGCAGCAGCUCUCCAAGUGACCCCCAUAAACCCUGGGAAACCCCAUAAAUGUGGGGCAGAACAUCUCCAACAGACCCCCACGAACCCACAGCAAUCCCCAUAAGUGUGGGGCAGAAGGUCCCCAGGUGACCCCUAUGAGCCCACAUGGAACCCCACAGAUGUGGGGCAGAAGAUCUCCAAUUGACCCCAGUGGGCUCACGGUGAACCCCAUAAGUGUGGGGCAGGCGGUCCCCAAGUGAUCCCCCAUAUCCUGCCCAGUACCCCCCAGUAUCCCACCCCCAUAUCUCCCAGUAUCCUCCAAUAUCUUCCAGUAUCCCCCACUAUCCCCCAAUAUCUCCCAGUAUCCCCCAGUUUCCCUCAUUAUCUCCCAGUACCCCCCAGUAUCCCCCAGUAUCCCUCAUUAUCUCCCAGUAUCUCCCAGUAUCCCCCAGUAUCCCCCAUUAUCUCCCAGUAUCCCACCCCAGUAUCUCUCAAUAUCUCCCAAUAUCUCCCAGUAUCCCACCCCAGUAUCUCCCAGUAUCCCCCAAUAUCUUCCAGUAUCCCCCAGUACCCUCAAUAUCUCCCAGUAUCCCACCCCAAUAUCCCCAGUAUCCCCCAGUAUCUCCCAAUAUCUCCCA
rnacentral:lncRNA from 1 species